UGGCGGCGUGCCUAACACAUGCAAGUCGAGCGCGAAUGGAGCAAUCCUAGUAGAGCGGCGCACGGGUGAGUAACACGUGGGUAAUCUGCCUGGAAGUCCGGGACAACCUGCCGAAAGGCUGGCUAAUACCGGAUAAGCCCACAGGGUCUUCGGACCUCGAGGGAAAAGAUGGCCUCUGCAUGCAAGCUAUCACUUCCAGAUGAGCCCGCGGCCCAUCAGCUAGUUGGCGGGGUAAUGGCCCACCAAGGCAACGACGGGUAGCUGGUCUGAGAGGACGAUCAGCCACACUGGAACUGAGACACGGUCCAGACUCCUACGGGAGGCAGCAGUGGGGAAUUUUGCGCAAUGGGCGAAAGCCUGACGCAGCAACGCCGCGUGUGUGAUGAAGGUCUUCGGAUCGUAAAGCACUUUCGAACGGGACGAAAACUCGCUGGCCAAUAUCCAGCGAUCUGACGGUACCGGGAGAAAAAGCACCGGCUAACUCUGUGCCAGCAGCCGCGGUAAUACAGAGGGUGCAAGCGUUGUUCGGAAUUAUUGGGCGUUAAGCGCGUGUAGGCGGCUUUGCAAG
rnacentral:rRNA from 1 species